AUUGAACGCUGGCGGCAGGCCUAACACAUGCAAGUCGCACGAGUCGCGGAAGUAUGAGUAAUGUCUGGGCAACUGCCCGGUGGAGGGGGUUCACUACUGGAAACGGUUGCUAAUACCGCAUACCAUCGGCUAUGCCCAGAUGGGAUUAGCUUGAGGGUGGGGUAAUGGCUCACCUAGGCGACGAUCCCUGACUGGUCUGAGAGGCUGACCAGGCACACUGGAACUGAGACACGGUCCAGACUCCUACGGGAGGCAGCAGUGGGGAAUAUUGCACAAUGGGCGAAAGCCUGAUGCAGCCAUGCCGCGUGUAUGAAGAAGGGCUUCGGAUUGUAAAGUACUUUCAGCGGGGAGGCGUUACCCGCAGAAGAAGCACCGGCUAACUCCGUGCCAGCAGCCGCGGUAAUAC
rnacentral:rRNA from 1 species